rnacentral:rRNA from 1 species
UACAGAGGGCGCGAGCGUUGUCCGGAAUCACUGGGCGUAAAGGGCGCGUAGGUGGCCACUAUAAGGCCGCGGUGAAAGUUCGGGGCUCAACCCUGAAUCGGCCGCGGCGACUGUAGGGCUUGGGCACUGUAGAGGCAGAUGGAAUUCCGGGUGUAGCGGUGGAAUGCGUAGAGAUCCGGAAGAACACCGGUGGCGAAGGCGGCACACUGGACCACAACUGACGCUGAGGCGCGAAAGCCAGGGGAGGCAAACGGG